CGUAGGGUGCGAGCGUUAAUCGGAAUUACUGGGCGUAAAGCGUGCGCAGGCGGUUUUUUAAGACAGGCGUGAAAUCCCCGGGCUCAACCUGGGAACUGCGCUUGUGACUGGAAGGCUAGAGUACGGCAGAGGGGGGUGGAAUUCCACGUGUAGCAGUGAAAUGCGUAGAGAUGUGGAGGAACACCAAUGGCGAAGGCAGCCCCCUGGGUCGAUACUGACGCUCAUGCACGAAAGCGUGGGUAGCAAACAGGAUUAGAUACCCUGGUAGUCCACGCCCUAAACGAUGUCAACUAGGUGUUGGGAGGGUAAAACCUUUUAGUACCGGAGCUAACGCGUGAAGUUAGACCGCCUGGGGAGUACGGCCGCAAGGUU
rnacentral:rRNA from 1 species